rnacentral:rRNA from 1 species
CCUACGGGAGGCAGCAGUGGGGGAUAUUGCACAAUGGGGGAAACCCUGCUGCAGCGACGCCGCGUGUGGGAAGACGGUCCUCUGUAUUGUAAACCACUGUCCCCAGGGACGAAGCUGACGGUACCUGGGGAGGAAGCUCCGACUAACUACGUGCCAGCAGCCGCGGUAAUACGUGGGGAGCGAGCGUUGUCCGGAAUUACUGGGUGUAAAGGGAGCGUAGGCGGGACUGCAAGUUGGGUGUCAAAUCUACCGGCUCAACCGGUAGCCGCACUCAAAACUGCAGUUCUUGAGUGAAGUAGAGGCAGGCGGAAUUCCUAGUGUAGCGGUGAAAUGCGUAGAUAUUAGGAGGAACACCAGUGGCGAAGGCGGCCUGCUGGGCUUUUACUGACGCUGAGGCUCGAAAGUGUGGGGAGCAAACAGGAUUAGAUACCCGGGUAGUC